rnacentral:rRNA from 1 species
GACGAAGGAUGCAAGCGUUAUCCGGAUUCAUUGGGUUUAAAGGGUGCGUAGGCGGCCUGAUAAGUCAGUGGUGAAAUCUCCUCGCUUAACGAGGAAACUGCCAUUGAUACUGUCGGGCUUGAGUACAGAUGCUGUGGGCGGAAUAUGACAUGUAGUGGUGAAAUACAUAGAGAUGUCAUAGAACACCGAUUGCGAAGGCAGCUCACAAAAACUGUAACUGACGCUGAGGCACGGAAAAGUGCGGGGAUCAAACAGG